rnacentral:rRNA from 1 species
AUGUGGUUUCUCCUCUUUGACGGUUCGACUUUGCUUCCAUCUCCUUCAGUCCUCCACGGCCUCUAUGACCUUUGUCCGUGCACAGCCGCCGGCCGCCGCAGCUUCGCCAAUCGUUAUGUUCCCCAUCAGCCGUCAGCGAUCUUAGCCGUGAGGAGCAAGUCGUCAGCAAAUUCUUCACGGCAACCACUGGAAAAUGAGAAAGAACAGACACCUACUGAUGCUAGUUCUGCUUUGGAACGGGUACUAGUUAACAGCAAUGCAAGACCAUGCUCAACCGAAGAAGAAGAAGAACAUGUUGAUAUAUCCAAUCUUCCGCCGGAUCCUGCUGACCGUAAGCCAAUUUCCGAAUACAAAACUGCCAAAGUUCGUGAUGAUGUGCAAAAAGCUUACCUCCUAAGAGGCCCAUGCCAACCUGAUGGACAUGUUCUCCGUCAAACUGAUUUCAGUGGAAUUCAACGUCGUUUUAAUAAAGAAUGGUUCAAGACGUACAAACCUUGGUUGGAGUAUAGUAUAAAGGAAGAUGCUGCAUUUUGUCUUGUCUGCUACUUGUUUCAAAAUGAAAAUAUUGCAAGGUUGCUUCUUGUUCUGGGCUUGCCGUUUCGAGGUCACGAUGAAAGUGAGACUUCUUUGAGGAAGGGUAAUUUCCUAACUUUUUAUGAGUGGAAGGAUCAAGAUAUUGUGAAUGUUGUGUCAUAUCUUUGUAAAACAAAAAGAAGGCUACAAGAAAUGAGAAACCAAGGUUGGGAAGAGCUUGAUGACCGCUUUAGUGAGAGCAGCACGACAUUGCUUAUUGGCAUGGCUUGUUUGGAUCCUUCUAAUUCAUUCUCUAACUUUGAUAAGGAUAAAGUUUUAGCAAUGGCUCGUUUGUAUCCUGAUGAUUUUGAAAGUGAAAUCAAGAUUGAAGAUCUUAGCGUCCAACUCGACAACUUCCUUGAAAAUGUUACUAGUUUUCCUCUAGUGUUUCAUUUGGUGAAGCUAGCAAUGAUUUUGCGAGUUGCAAUGGCGAUAGUUGAGAGAGCAUUUUCUGCAAUGAAAUAUAUCAAGUCUGAUUUGCAUAAUAGAAUAGGUGAUGAUUUCUUGUAUCGUUGUCUCAUUACUUAUGUUGAAAGCGGUGUAUUCCAGUCUAUCAGUACUGAUGCUAUUAUGCAUACAUAUCAAAGUAUGCAUGAUCGCGGAGAGCUGCUACCAUAA